rnacentral:lncRNA from 1 species
CCCGACAGCUCUCUGAGCCCCAUUGAUUGGGGUUUCUAUGGCAGUCACUUUAUUUCGGCAUGGUUGAUUAAAUAAUUGGCCACUGGUGAUUGAAGUCCUGCCCCAGCAGCUCUCUGGAGGCCCAGCCUGGGGCUGAAAGCUCCAGCCCUCCAAUCACAUGGUUGCUUCCUCUGGCAACCAGCCCCAUCCUGAAGCUGUCUAGGGGUCCACGAAGAGUCACUUCAUUAGCACACACUCAGUAUGGCUGGAAGGGGAUUGUUAUGAGUAACAAAAGACGCUCCCUCACCCCUGUCAUUCAGGAGAUUCCAGAGGUUUCAGACGCUCAGCGUCAGGAACAGGGACAAAGACCAAAUGUCCAUUUCGUAUCAUCACAGGGAUUCCAUGUAUACAGGCAUCAAGAUUUACUUAACCCACCAUUACAAAAAAUUUAAUUAUCUUAAUUUGUUCCUGUUUCUACUUACUCGAUUAACAAUUACAUCCCCAGUAUAUGAUUUUGUGCAGUGCCCUCUGGUGCAAGAUUGGUGCCCGACGUGGGACUCACAACUCGAGGAAGGGCGGAAACCGCGAAGGACCCAGCUACGUGGUGCUGCCUCCCUCGGCAACCGGGCGAGGUGGGUGCUCGGUGGGUGCUCGGUGGCGCCACCGUGUGGAAGUUUGGGAAACAGAAAACCAAGUCUCUGCGCUCAGGGCCAGAGUUUCAUCCUGGGCCUCUGACUGGGGCCAACUGUAACAGGAACAGCCCUGACUGUAAGUCAAAAUUGUAAAGUCCCCCUUGGCCAGAGAACCUUCCUGCAGUGGCCUCCACUGCUUUCUCCAGCUUGCCAGUUUUAACCUACAGGGCCAAGCCUCUUAAACUUGGGUGAGGUGAGGAAUGAUCAUGGCCAACGUGAAAUUUGGUUGAAUAGAUACAUUUCUCGGGGUACACAAGGGUCACUUCCCAGCACUGUCUGUGUGUGUGGCCUCCGAGAAAGCAACCUCCUUUCUCAGGCGAACAGAAUUCACACUAAAUCCUCCCAGCAAACCCAUUCUAGACGGGAUGGUGGGUGUUAGUCCAAACUGCACCAUUUUGUAAGCCCCCUGCCAUUUUGCGGAGCCUCGUCAGAGUGAAACAUUCCAUGUGGAUUCGGGCCUGACCACAAGGCACAAGAACACCCGUAUCAUACCCUGCCAGGCAAAGGCCCAACUGAGGGAACAUCCCUAUCGUAUCCUGCAGGGCAAAGGAACA